GUGCACCAGGCGAGAAAACUCCGCAAUGCCCGAAAGGGUGACGGGGGAUUCCAAGUGCCUACGCUUAGCGUAGGCUGUUCAGGUGCCUAAAAAGCACCUGGAGGAAAGGGCUGGGUAAGACGGGUGCCAGCCGCCGCGGUAAUACCCGCAGCCCGAGUGGUAGUCGCUUUUAUUGGGCCUAAAGCGUCCGUAGCCGGUCUGGUAAAUGCCUGGGUAAAUCGUGGGGCUUAACCUCACGAAUUCCGGGUAGACUGCCAGACUUGGGACCGGUUGAGGGAGAGGGUACUCCAGGGGUAGGGGUGAAAUCAGCAAGGUAAGCUGAUGUAACGUUGCCUUAGCAAGUCACAAUCCUGUAAUCCUUGGGGGACCACCGGUGGCGAAAAGCGCUCUCCUAGGAC
rnacentral:rRNA from 1 species